UCCCUGGUGGUAUAUGGUUAGUACACGCGCCUGCAAGUGCGCCUGUCGUCCGUCCUGCUGGAUUCAAACGCGCGAAAGCUGGGUUCGACUCCCAGCCAGGGAG